rnacentral:rRNA from 1 species
AUUGAACGCUGGCGGCAGGCCUAUCACAUGCAAGUCGAGCGGAUGAAGGGAGCUUGCUCCUGGAUUCAGCGGCGGACGGGUGAGUAAUGCCUAGGAAUCUGCCUGGUAGUGGGGGAUAACGUCCGGAAACGGGCGCUAAUACCGCAUACGUCCUGAGGGAGAAAGUGGGGGAUCUUCGGACCUCACGCUAUCAGAUGAGCCUAGGUCGGAUUAGCUAGUUGGUGGGGUAAAGGCCUACCAAGGCGACGAUCCGUAACUGGUCUGAGAGGAUGAUCAGUCACACUGGAACUGAGACACGGUCCAGACUCCUACGGGAGGCAGCAGUGGGGAAUAUUGGACAAUGGGCGAAAGCCUGAUCCAGCCAUGCCGCGUGUGUGAAGAAGGUCUUCGGAUUGUAAAGCACUUUAAGUUGGGAGGAAGGGCAGUAAGUUAAUACCUCGCUGUUUUGACGUUACCAACAGAAUAAGCACCGGCUAACUUCGUG